rnacentral:rRNA from 1 species
AAUGAACGUUGGCGGCGUGGAUUAGGCAUGCAAGUCGAGCGGGGUGAGGUGCUUCGGUACUGAUCCUAGCGGCGGACGGGUGAGUAAUGCUUAGGAAUCUGCCUAUUAGUGGGGGACAACAUUCCGAAAGGAAUGCUAAUACCGCAUACGUCCUACGGGAGAAAGCAGGGGAUCUUCGGACCUUGCGCUAAUAGAUGAGCCUAAGUCGGAUUAGCUAGUUGGUGGGGUAAAGGCCUACCAAGGCGACGAUCUGUAGCGGGUCUGAGAGGAUGAUCCGACACACUGGGACUGAGACACGGCCCAGACUCCUACGGGAGGCAGCAGUGGGGAAUAUUGGACAAUGGGCGGAAGCCUGAUCCAGCCAUGCCGCGUGUGUGAAGAAGGCCUUUUGGUUGUAAAGCACUUUAAGCGAGGAGGAGGCUACCUAGAUUAAUACUCUGGGAUAGUGGACGUUACUCGCAGAAUAAGCACCGGCUAACUCUGUGCCAGCCGCCGCCGUAAAAC